AUUGAACGCUGGCGGCAUGCUUUACACAUGCAAGUCGAACGGCAGCGCGGGCUUCGGCCUGGCGGCGAGUGGCGAACGGGUGAGUAAUAUAUCGGAACGUACCCAAGAGUGGGGGAUAACGUAGCGAAAGUUACGCUAAUACCGCAUACGAUCUAAGGAUGAAAGCAGGGGAUCGCAAGACCUUGUGCUCCUGGAGCGGCCGAUAUUUGAUUAGCUAGUUGGCGAGGUAAAGGCUCACCAAGGCAACGAUCAGUAGCUGGUCUGAGAGGACGAACAGCCACACUGGAACUGAGACACGGUCCAGACUCCUACGGGAGGCAGCAGUGGGGAAUUUUGGACAAUGGGGGCAACCCUGAUCCAGCAAUGCCGCGUGAGUGAAGAAGGCCUUCGGGUUGUAAAGCUCUUUUGUCAGGGAAGAAAAGGCUGUGGCUAAUAUCCACAGCUGCUGACGGUACCUGAAGAAUAAGCACCGGCUAACUACGUGCCAGCCGCCGCCGUAAGAC
rnacentral:rRNA from 1 species